ACUGUCUAAACAGCUAGCCGACCACUUAAAAUCAACAACCAACAUUAAUACCCCCUUAACCACGCACACCAAACAACAAACCAUUUUUCCUCCUUAGUAUGGGAGACAGAAAAGGAACGCAGCGCAAUAGAAGAAGUACCGCAAGGGAAAGCUGAAAGAGAGAUGAAAUAGCCCAGUAAAGAAAAAUAAAGCAGAGAUUAAAUCUCGUACCUUUUGCAUCAUGAAUUAGCUAGUAAAAUUCGAGCGAAGUGCCUUAUAGUUCGAACUCCCGAAACUAGACGAGCUACUCCAAGACAGCCUUCAAGGGCAAACCCGUCUCUGUGGCAAAAGAGUGGGGAGAUCUUUGAGUAGAGGUGACAAACCUACCGAGCCUAGUUAUAGCUGGUUGCCUACGAAAUGAAUAGAAGUUCAGCUUUUAAUACUACUUACAUUAUAACUGUUUAAACUCAAAGUAACAUAAAGUAUAUUAAAGAGUUAUUCAAGAAGGGUACAGCCCUCUUGAAAGAAGACACAACUUUUUAGGCAGGCUAAAGAUUAACAAAAAAGGCGAACACCUUAGUGGGCCUAAAAGCAGCCACCUAUGCAGAAAGCGUUAAAGCUCAAGUGCCACCCCCACCACGAUAACCACACACAAAUCUUAAACCUCCAACAAAGUAGUAAUAGGCCUUUUCAUGCAAUCAUGAAAGAGACACUGCUAAUAUGAGUAAUAAGAGGGAUGCCCCUCUCCCGACACCUGUAUAAAUCAGAACGAACCCCCACUGAAAAUUAACGCCCCCAACCCCAGAGGGCACUGAGAGCCAUCCAAUUAACUAGAAAAUCUCUCACAAACACAACGUUACCCCCACACAGGUGUGUCCAAGGAAAGACAAAAGGGAAAAGAAGGAACUCGGCAAACACCGGCCUCGCCUGUUUACCAAAAACAUCGCCUCUUGCCUAGAAUAUAUAAGAGGUCCCGCCUGCCCUGUGACUGCAAAGUUUAACGGCCGCGGUAUUUUGACCGUGCGAAGGUAGCGUAAUCACUUGUCUUUUAAAUGGAGACCUGUAUGAAUGGCAUAACGAGGGCUAAACUGUCUCCUUUUCCCAGUCAAUGAACUUGAUCUUCCCGUGCAGAAGCGGGAAUAUAUACACAAGACGAGAAGACCCUAUGGAGCUUCAGACGCAAGACAGCCCACGUAAAAACCCCUAAGUAAACAGACUUAACUAACUGGUCCCUGUCCUUAUGUCUUUGGUUGGGGCGACCGCGGGGGAACAAACAUCCCCCACGUGGAACAGGAUAUAAUUCCUCAAAGCCAGAGCUACAGCUCUAACAAACAGAAAAUCUGACCUACAAGAUCCGGCACUGCCGAUCAACGGACCGAGUUACCCUAGGGAUAACAGCGCAAUCCCCUUUUAGAGCCCAUAUCGACAAGGGGGUUUACGACCUCGAUGUUGGAUCAGGACAUCCUAAUGGUGCAGCCGCUAUUAAGGGUUC
rnacentral:rRNA from 1 species